rnacentral:rRNA from 1 species
GCACCCGUUAAAACUUGAAACAUGUAGCGGAAAGGGGAGCUUGCUCCUGGAUUCAGCGGCGGACGGGUGAGUAAUGCCUAGGAAUCUGCCUGGUAGUGGGGGAUAACGUCCGGAAACGGGCGCUAAUACCGCAUACGUCCUGAGGGAGAAAGUGGGGGAUCUUCGGACCUCACGCUAUCAGAUGAGCCUAGGUCGGAUUAGCUAGUUGGUGGGGUAAAGGCCUACCAAGGCGACGAUCCGUAACUGGUCUGAGAGGAUGAUCAGUCACACUGGAACUGAGACACGGUCCAGACUCCUACGGGAGGCAGCAGUGGGGAAUAUUGGACAAUGGGCGAAAGCCUGAUCCAGCCAUGCCGCGUGUGUGAAGAAGGUCUUCGGAUUGUAAAGCACUUUAAGUUGGGAGGAAGGGCAGUAAGUUAAUACCUUGCUGUUUUGACGUUACCAACAGAAUAAGCACCGGCUAACUUCGUGCCAGCAGCCGCGGUAAUACGAAGGGUGCAAGCGUUAAUCGGAAUUACUGGGCGUAAAGCGCGCGUAGGUGGUUCAGCAAGUUGGAUGUGAAAUCCCCGGGCUCAACCUGGGAACUGCAUCCAAAACUACUGAGCUAGAGUACGGUAGAGGGUGGUGGAAUUUCCUGUGUAGCGGUGAAAUGCGUAGAUAUAGGAAGGAAACACCAGUGGCGAAGGCGACCACCUGGACUGAUACUGACACUGAGGUGCGAAAGCGUGGGGAGCAAACAGGAUUAGAUACCCCUGGUAGUCCACGCCGUAAACGAUGUCCGACUAGCCGUUGGGAUCCUUGAGAUCUUAGUGGCCGCAGCUAACGCGAUAAGUCGACCGCCCUGGGGGAGUACGGCCCGCCAAGGUUAAA